AUACGAAAGGUGCAAGCGUUGUUCGGAUUUACUGGGCGUAAAGAGAGUGUAGGUUGUUUAUUAAGUCGGAUGUGAAAUCCCGGGGCUCAACCUCGGAACUGCAUUCGAUACUGGUAGACUAGAGUUCGGGAGGGGUAAGCGGAAUUCCGUGUGUAGCAGUGAAAUGCGUAGAUAUAAGGAGGAACACCUGAGGCGAAGGCGGCUUACUGGACCGAUACUGACACUGAGACUCGAAAGCGUGGGUAGCAAACAGGAUUAGAAACCCUAGUAGUCC
rnacentral:rRNA from 1 species